rnacentral:misc_RNA from 1 species
AAAAAAAAAAAAAAAAAACUGUAGUAACACUAUCCUUUGCUUAAUGUCAUUUCUGCGUAAUCAAAGAUAACCCAAAUUCUUUUUAAGUUUUUAAUUUCAAUUUCUAAGUGAUGAAUCAUAGUUUUGUCCUUACGGGUCUCAGAUUACGAAAAUUAGACCCUGAAUCCGUGGUGAAAAAGAAAAAUCCUGCCCUCAAAGAAAUAAAAUUGCAGGAUCAAAACACCCCCGCCCCCCGCACCUCUCUCUCCAUUUUCUAUUUUCUACUAAGCUACUUGGCAACCAAACAAUGGGAGUAAUGCCAAAACGAAAAAAGAAAACCGUAGAAAUACCAGAUUUUAAUGGAGCAAAUAUGAGUUAAAAAAUUGAGCAAAAAAUCUAGAGAUAAAAAGACAAUUUUACUAACGAAAAACUCAC